AUUGAACGCUGGCGGCAUGCUUUACACAUGCAAGUCGAACGGUAACAGGGAGCUUGCUCCGCUGACGAGUGGCGAACGGGUGAGUAAUGCGUCGGCACGUGCCGAGUAGUGGGGGAUAACGCAUCGAAAGGUGUGCUAAUACCGCAUACGUACUGAGGUAGAAAGUUGGGGACAUUUGGGCCUCACGCUAUUCGAGCGGCCCACGUCUGAUUAGCUAGUUGGUGAGGUAAAGGCUCACCAAGGCGACGAUCAGUAGCGGGUCUGAGAGGAUGAUCCGCCACACUGGGACUGAGACACGGCCCAGACUCCUACGGGAGGCAGCAGUGGGGAAUUUUGGACAAUGGGCGCAAGCCUGAUCCAGCCAUGCCGCGUGUCUGAAGAAGGCCUUCGGGUUGUAAAGGACUUUUGUCCGGGAGCAAAUGCUGGUGGCUAACAUCCACCGGAGCUGAGAGUACCGGAAGAAUAAGCACCGGCUAACUACGUGCCAGCCGCCGCCGUAAGAC
rnacentral:rRNA from 1 species